GAGUUUGAUUCUGGCUCAGGACGAACGCUGGCGGCGUGCCUAAUACAUGCAAGUCGAACGAACGGAGAAAGAAGCUUGCUUUUUUCAAAGUUAGUGGCGAACGGGUGAGUAACACGUGGGUAACCUGCCCAUCAGAGGGGGAUAACAUUCGGAAACGGAUGCUAAAACCGCAUAGGUUCCUUAGUUGCAUGACUGAGGAAGGAAAAGAGGCGUAAGCUUCUGUUGGUGGAUGGACCCGCGGUGCAUUAGCUAGUUGGUGAGGUAACGGCUCACCAAGGCGAUGAUGCAUAGCCGACCUGAGAGGGUGAUCGGCCACAUUGGGACUGAGACACGGCCCAAACUCCUACGGGAGGCAGCAGUAGGGAAUCUUCCGCAAUGGACGCAAGUCUGACGGAGCAACGCCGCGUGAGUGAAGAAGGUUUUCGGAUCGUAAAACUCUGUUGUUAGAGAAGAAUAAGCAUAAUAGUAAUCUGAU
rnacentral:rRNA from 1 species